rnacentral:lncRNA from 1 species
CUAAAAGUUGAUUGUGAUUCGAAAUUGGAAACAUUGGAAUUGGGGUGAGAUAAUAAGAUUAGCAUUAUGUGUGUCAAAAGAAUCAGAAUAAAAAAAAAUUUGUGUUGAAUUAAAAAAUGAUUUGAAGAAUUUGUACGAGAGAUAAAGAGAUUAGAACACAUAAAAGAGAGAAGAGAGAGAGAGAGAGAGAUAAGUGUAUUAUAAUCAUUAAAAAUAUUUAAAAUAAACAAGGUUAUAUGACA